rnacentral:sRNA from 1 species
AAGGGACCUAGCGUAGUUCGGAAUUACUGGGCUUAAAGAGUUCGUAGGUGGUUGGAAAAGUUGGUGGUGAAAUCCCAGAGCUUAACUCCGGAACUGCCAUCAAAACUUUUCAGCUAGAGUAUGAUAGAGGAAAGCAGAAUUUCUAGUGUAGAGGUGAAAUCCGUAGAUAUUAGAAAGAAUACCAAUUGCGAAGGCAGCUUUCUGGAUCAUUACUGACACUGAGGAACGAAAGCAUGGGUAGCGAAGAGGAUUAGAUACCCUCGUAGUCCAUGCCGUAAACGAUGUGUGUUAGACGUUGGAAAUUUAUUUUCAGUGUCGCAGGGAAACCGAUAAACACACCGCCUGGGGAGUACGACCGCAAGGUUAAAACUCAAAUGAAUUGACGGGGACCCGCACAAGUAGUGGAGCAUGUGGUUUAAUUCGAAGAUACGCGCAGAACCUUACCAACACUUGACAUGUUCGUCGCGACUCUAAGAGAUUAGAGUUUUCGGUUCGGCCGGACGAAACACAGGUGCUGCAUGGCUGUCGUCAGCUCGUGUCGAGAGAUGUUGGGUUAAGUCCCGCAACGAGCGCAACCCUCACUUUUAGUUGCCAUCAUUAAGUUGGGCACUCUGAAAGAACUGCCAGUGAUAAGCUGGAGGAAGGUGGGGAUGACGUCAAGUCCUCAUGGCCCUUACGUGUUGGGCUACACACGUGCUACAAUGGCAUCUACAACAGGAAGCAAAACGGCAACGUUAAGCAAAUCCCGAAAAGAUGCCUCAGUUCGGAUUGCACUCUGCAACUCGAGUGCAUGAAGCUGGAAUUACUAGUAAUCGUGGAUCAGCGUGCCACGGUGAAUGCGUUCCCGGGUCUUAUACACACCGCCCGUCACACCAUGGGAGUUGGUUCUACCUUAAGGCAAGGCUUUAAACCCUUGACCACGGUAUAGUCAGCGACUGGGGUGAAGUCGUAACAAGGUAGCCGUAGGGGAACCUGCGGCUGGAUUACCUCCUUUCUAAGGAUGAGUGAAAGUUAAAUUUCACUCUAAAUAAUAUACAUCGGUAAUGUUGACCGUCCUCAUUUCUCUUCUUAAAGUAAUGUUUCCUUCUUGUAGGGCCGGUAGCUCAGUUGGUUAGAGCACACCCUUGAUAAGGGUGGGGUCGAAAGUUCGAGUCUUUCUCGGCCCACCAAAAACCUAAAUGGGGGAUUAGCUCAUCUGGGAGAGCGCCUGAUUUGCAUUCAGGAGGUAGCAGGUUCGAUCCCUGUAUCCUCCACCAGGAAACAUUUAGUUAUUAAAACUGUAAAUAAAAAUAAUUUAUAUCAAUAUCUAUAUCCGAACAUUAAAAGUUAUUAUUUAAUGUUCAAAAUAAAAAUUUGAUCACAACAUAGAUAAAUUUUCUUUAAGAAGAAUUUUUUUCUGUGCAUAAAUCAAGCGUUUAAGGGCGUGUAGUGGAUGCCUUGGCACUGAAAGCCGAUGAAGGACGUGAUAUACUGCGAUAAGUUUCGGGGAGCUGUAUGUAAGCUUUGAUCCGAAAAUUU